GAGGUCACUGUGAGGUCACUGUGUCGCUAAGGUCACUGUAAGGUCACUGUGAGGUCCAUGUGUCGCUAAGGUCACUGUGAGGUCCAUGUGUCGCUAAGGUCACUGUGAGGUCCAUGUGUCGCUAAGGUCACUGUGAGGUCCAUGUGUCGCUAAGGUCACUGUGAGGUCCAUGUGUCGCUAAGGUCACUGUGAGGUCCAUGUGUCGCUAAGGUCACUGUGAGGUCCAUGUGUCGCUAAGGUCACUGUGAGGUCCAUGUGUCGCUAAGGUCACUGUGA